rnacentral:rRNA from 1 species
GACGAACGCUGGCGGCGUGCUUAACACAAGCAAGUCGAACGGAAAGGCCCUGCUUUUGUGGGGUGCUCGAGUGGCGAACGGGUGAGUAACACGUGAGUAACCUGCCCUUGACUUUGGGAUAACUUCAGGAAACUGGGGCUAAUACCGGAUAUGAGCUCCUGCUGCAUGUUGUGGGUUGGAAAGUUUCGGCGGUUGGGGAUGGACUCGCGGCUUAUCAGCUUGUUGGUGGGGUAGUGGCUUACCAAGGCUUUGACGGGUAGCCGGCCUGAGAGGGUGACCGGCCACAGUGGGACUGAGAUACGGCCCAGAAUCGUACGGGAGGCAGCAGUGGGGAAUAUUGCACAAUGGGCGGAAGCGUGAGGCAGCAACGCCGCGUGCGGGAUGACGGCCUUCGGGUGGUAAACCGAUUUCGAAUGUGACGAAGCGUGAGUGACGGUAAUGGGUAAAGAAGCAACGGCUAACUACGUG